UAUUAAAAUGUCAGCAACAGAGUUGAGAAGUCACAGCAGGCGACGUGCUAGCUGACAGUAAAUUCCAAAUUGUUUUUAUCUCUAUUAUUCUGUUUUUGUCUCACUUUUUAUACCCUGAACCCAUUUUUUUUUUUUUUUUUUUUUUUUUUUUUUUUUGGGAAUAAAAUUGCGUGGAAGAGUCAGUGUGCUGUGACUGCGUUGAUAGCCUCCACAAAGUGAAUACAAUAGAUUAAUAAUUUGUGUUUCGUCACACAGAGAGAAUGUGCGAUAUGAGUUCAUGUUGCUUGUUGCCGACUCCUGCAGCUAAAUAUUUAAAUGUUUUAGCCCUUUACUGGUUAACAAGCUGAAAUAGUUGUCAGGCUUGCAUGAUUUCUGACCAGAGAUUCAUUUUUGAUGGCAAAAAUAUUUUAGGCUGCCUAGCCUGUGGCACAGUUAACAGAGGAUGGCCAAACGAGGCUACUGAGCAGCUGCCAGAAGAAGAAGAAGCAGUAUCAGGAGAGGAGGAGGAAGCAGGAGGAGGAGUGCGGUGUGCAACAAGCGGCAAAUACCGAGACAACAACAAUGUUUGGCCAGCGCGAGAGCUGGGGUUAUAAAUAAGCGCAAAAACAACAGCAACAACUACAACUAAAACAUGGCAUUUUCAAGGACAUUUCAUACAAGCCAAACUCGAGCGGGUCCUUGGGCCAGCUGCCCACUGCCUCCUUGCCAUUUCUUAUUUAUUU